UAAAAUAGAAAACUGUUGACCUGAGUUUCAGAACCUGCUUGUGGAAGGAGAGCAUGAGGCUGGAAAUAAACAGCAAUUGCAAACAAGUAGAAUUUGGUGAUGGAAAGAGGAGAUAGGGAGAGAAAAACAAGAAAGGAUGUCCUGUAGAGGACAUGGCCUUACCCAGCCUCUGUGUUGAUGAUGCAUAGGUCAGAUUUCCACCCUGGUCACUUAUUCAUCCACAGAACAGAGGUAGAACCACAGAAUGCAAACUCCAUUUCCAUCUGUGAGCUUAAUCCCACUUUCUGGCCAUUAGCCACUUUAAUGUGUCACUUCUGAGCAACUAUCGCUCUCAUCUCAGAAAAGCAGAUCUGACUGUUCUAAAGGAAACAAAAAUAGCAGAGCAAGAAGAGAAUGUGGGACAUUAUUUUAGUUCUGUGAUGUCAUCGGUCAAUCAGAAUCUGAGUUUCCAAGUGUUGUUUGCAGCUCUGUUUGGAUUACAGCAUUUUGACUGGUUGGCUUCUGCAUGAUGUUUGAGAAUCAUUAAUUCUUCUCAGAAUAGUUUAUUCCCCACUGAAAAGCAGCUGACUUAAACAUAUUGGAAAGCUGAGUGGGAGCCAUCACCAACUGACCUCAGUAUGAGUCAUUCUUAAAUAUUCCUAAAAGAAAAGCAUAUUCUUUGGUCCUUUUCUCUCUUUGAAGUUGGGAGAGGUGGCAGCUCAAGGCGUACAUGGCUUCCACCUCUAAUGAGCAGUUUUAUUGAACAAGUGCAGGAUUAUCAAGAACUUAACCCACCAACUCCCAAGAAUACAGAAUGUUCCAGAGUUUAAUUUUCAUUAAGCAACUUUUUCAUCUCCUAGCAAAAUAGUCAUUCUUUGUAAAAGGAAAAUUGUAGGUAACUGUAGAAAGCUGGAAAACCAUUCAUGUUAUUUCUAAAACAGUCUUAUUCUGUGAAACCCAAUCUUAACCACAAUCUAGUCAAUUCAGUAAUGACUGCAUAAAUAGGUAAAAUGUUCAGGCUGGUACUUAUAGGCCAUGUCUUGCAAUAAUACGUCAAAUCUCAGGGAUCUAGAAAGGUCAUUCUUGUGUAGUCAUUUGUAACCUGCUUGCAAGGAGGAAGGGAAGAGGCAAGAGCCGAGUUGGAACAUUUGGCAAAAUUGCCCCAAAGUAUGAAACCAAAGACCCAAAUAUUGAUUGUGGGGAGGUUUCAGUAAAAUACUCAAAACAUGAAGUGAGAGACUUUAAGCAAAAUUAUAUUGCAACAUGCAAUUUAUUCACUGAAAUGGAAUUUUUAAAGUAAGAUUGAAUAAUAAAAAAAAAAAACCCAAAACAAACAAAAAACUCCCUUGAGAUUUAGUUGGGUAAUAAAAGCUUUUUUUUUCUUUUUUUUCCCCCAUCUGUCCCCCACCCUGUGCUUUGAAAAUUGAACACCUGUCAGAUUCUUCUUUUUCCUUUCAUUUCUUUGACUUGUCAGAGGAAAAAGGUCAGAAGUGAUCACCAACUCUACUUUUUAACAGACAGAAGGCUGUAAUUGAGAGUAAUACCUCUGCAAUUUUGUAGGCAGGGGCUGUUUCGGGCUGGCUUUCAAAAGCUGGGCUAGAAGAGAUAUGCUGGUUAUUCUGUAAGUGAAUCAACUUCAUUCACCGUGCACAGAUCAUUUCUGAUUUUUACUGAAAUGCAGCUACACCACUCACAUUAGUGUCCUUCUUUUGGAUGAAUAGGAAUAUAUUCUAUUUUUAACAUCUACUGGGGUGCCCUAAAGCUAGAAAGAAAUUGCUUUGUGAGAGGUCUCUGGAAAAGUCUCAUUUUGAAAUUGUGCAUUCUUAAGAAUGGUUUGUUCUUAAGAGUGAUUUAUUAUCUUUUUUCUGAGAAGUUUACAUCUCUGUUCAGUAUUUAAGGUGAAAAACAUGUGUUUGUCUUUAACAGAAUUAGAUGCAGUGUUUUUCAUCUUAGUAUGGUAUACGUUGUGGCAUAAUUUAGAAAUGUUUUGAAGUUGCUGAAUUGACUUCUUUAUAAAAAAAUUGAUUUCUGUCAAAACUGGAAGAAUAAUGAAGGAAUCCCUUAACUCACCAUAUGAAACUUUGUGAAACUUAUGUCUGUGUCCAAAAUUUUCAUUGCUCAUUAGAGUUUUAUGUUUGAAGGGAGGUGCACAAUAAAAGGAAUUGUUCUGAAGAAAAUUUACACUUAAAAUCUAAUUUAAACUGCUUGUUAUAUCUAACUUUACAAAGUACAAUCUUUCAAUUAAAAAAUACCAAGGGGUGCCUGGGUGGUUUAGUCAGCUAAGCCACUGACUCUUGAUUUUGGCUUAGGUCAUGAUCUCAGGAUUGUGGGAUUGAGCCCCAUGUCAGGCUCCCUGCUA